UGCGCAGGCGGGCUUGUAAGUCAGUGGUGAAAUACUGCCGCUUAACGGUAGAACUGCCAUUGAUACUGCGAGUCUUGAAUAUGGUUGAGGUAGGCGGAAUGUGUUGUGUAGCGGUGAAAUGCAUAGAUAUGACACAGAACGCCGAUUGCGAAGGCAGCUUACUAAGCCAUUACUGACGCUGAGGCACGAAAGCGUGGGGAGCGAACAGGAUUAGAUACCCUGGUAGUC
rnacentral:rRNA from 1 species